rnacentral:rRNA from 1 species
UACGUAGGUGGCAAGCGUUGUCCGGAUUUACUGGGCGUAAAGAGCGCGCAGGCGGUCGUUCAAGUCGCGUGUGAAAGCCCCCGGCUCAACUGGGGAGGGUCACGCGAUACUGAUCGACUGGAAGGCAGGAGAGGGUAGUGGAAUUCCCGGUGUAGUGGUGAAAUGCGUAGAUAUCGGGGAGGAACACCAGUGGCGAAGGCGACUACCUGGCCUGUUCUUGACGCUGAGGAGCGAAAGCGUGGGUAGCGAACAGG